rnacentral:rRNA from 1 species
CUUUGAAACCAGGACGCCAGUUUUGGCGGAGCCAUCCUUGGGAUACCACCCUUGUAGUACUGGGACUCUAACCAUAGGCCAUGAAUCUGGUCUUGGGACACUGUCAGGUGGGCAGUUUGACUGGGGCGGUCGCCUCCCAAAAGGUAACGGAGGCGCUCAAAGGUUCUCUCAGUACGGUCGGAAAUCGUACGUAGAGUGUAAAGGCAA